rnacentral:rRNA from 1 species
UACGGAGGGGGCUAGCGUUGUUCGGAAUUACUGGGCGUAAAGCGCACGUAGGCGGCUUUGUAAGUUAGAGGUGAAAGCCCGGAGCUCAACUCCGGAAUUGCCUUUUAGACUGCAUCGCUUGAAUCAUGGAGAGGUCAGUGGAAUUCCGAGUGUAGAGGUGAAAUUCGUAGAUAUUCGGAAGAACACCAGUGGCGAAGGCGGCUGACUGGACUGGUAUUGACGCUGAGGUGCGAAAGCGUGGGGAGCAAACAGG